UCUGGAUCUCACCCUAGCCUCGAUCCCAGGCCGAGUUUUCGCUUUUAUAACGGUUAGGCGAACAACUGGGCCUGGUACUAGUUGUCUGCGCAUGCGUCAGUCGUUCGUCAGAUUCUGACGAAUGGAUAUUCUCGUUCACUUUCGUGACAUUUAUAUUCGUGUACUAUCGUGUACUAGAAGUCAGUUCCCGUUUUAUCAUUAUUGGAAUCGAUUGGAAUGGCUCUUAGCUGAAGCUUCUCUCUUCUCUGAAGCUUAUUCUGAAGACUGAACAACAAGGGAAGAGGUAUAAAGCUUUGUCAAGCUUGUUAAGGAGCAAAAUAUCCAGCUAUCCCAACAGUGCUCCUCUUGGCUAUACUAACGGACGAGACUGGACAGUUUGAGACACAGGACUGGAGUAUGACCUGCUCAUUCGAGCGUUGCUGGGUAGCUCAGAGACAUCAAGAGAAUCUACGUUUUCUCAAGUAAUGAGUUACGAGUUGGGGCCUAGAAUCAGAGAAGUCCAGCAGCCUGCUAAAUCUUUUUGAAACGUAAUUUGAAGGCAUUCAAUCAUCCUGAAGUUGCCCUGGGUCACUGUAAUUGUGCUGCAGCACAACUGGCAACUCCCCAGGCCUUUGUGAAGCAGCUCCCUAUGUGCAUCUUUUGUGUACUCACUCUGUGCAUUUUCUGUGUACAAAUUUCUAUUAUUGAUUUAUUAAAUAUUUUUGCCGACCACAAA